UCAUGGGCUGUCGUUGCUGCUCAUCCUCAUCUUUCAACCAUCUGAGCAACAAGUCCCUGUACUUGUCAAUACCCACGAUAUCAUCCUCCUCGACAAAAUGUGCUAAUUCUGCGGGGCUCUUGCUACCGCCAGCAGCUAUUAGAGGUCUUGCUUCAUUUUCCAUUCUGCUUGUAUCAUAUCGCUCCCUUCUUUCCUUAAUGUUUCGAAGCUUAACUUUGAUUUUGUUAAGCCUCUUGCUAAGGCGACGCCAAGUUGCUAUAUUUCUGCACAUCUUGACUGUUGUAGGCUGGACCCCUCCUUGCUCUUCACCGAGCUUGUAUGUGAACUCAUCUAUAAUAUCCUCAAUGUCGAAAGCCAAAUCUCUUGUUUGUUUUAUGAUGGUUGUUGUGCUCUCAUCCUUCUGUUUUAAUCUUUCAGCGAUCCGUAGGAAGGAUAGCAUGCUCUGAAGCUCACCCUUAAUGUCACUUAUAUCCUCCACAAGGUCUUCCAUUGCUGAUAUCCGUGUUAGUAAUCGUGAUGUUGCUGCUUUAGUUGCUUCACUAGCUAAGGUCGCACCGAUAUUUAGGAGUAAUGAGCUUACCACAGCCUCCGCCAUGGGCACUUCCUCUGAAUUGAGCCUAAAAUGUACAAUCUUUUCAAAUUACCAUGUCUCUUCAAAUGCACCACUAGCAAAAAUGAUUAUUUUUUAACGCUCUUAUGAUUCAAGGCAAUUUUUGUAAAAAAAUAUGUAAUUAAUUGUCUCAAUCGGAAUAACUCUGUAGUGCACUAAACAAACAUUUGUUAGAAUCCUCAGUUAAAAAAAAAGAAACACCAUUAACAGUAUUGUAGUCUGGAAGAACAAAAAGCAAUAACUUGUUCAAGAUUCAGUUUAACAAAAUUUUGAGAUUAAAGAUUCAUCAUAACUAGUCAUAUUGAACUCGACCUCAAUGUAUAUUUGUAGAUCAAGUUGUGAAAAAGUCCUUUAGAGGAGUAUGAAAUCAAUAAAGAGUUGGAAAGUAAAUCAAUCUGCUGCUAGCUAGUGAGUAGAUGGUAUCACAUUAAGCGUGAUUGUAAAUUAUUUUACAAUUAACAAUUAUAAAUCAAGUUUGUUUUGAAGCCCUCUUCUUGUUCAUAAUUAAGUUAAUAUUUAUCAGGACGAUAAGUCAUUUGAGCAAGAAACUAUUAGUGCUUUUUCAAAUAGUUUUGUUUUGAUAGAAAUAUAAGAACUUAAAUUUUAGACUCAUGAAACUCCCGUAUAUCUAAUAUGUUAAAUUUUAUUGCCUCGACAUUCAUAGUUUCAUACCGCCUAUUAUCAGACCAGAAUCUGAAAGUUCUAUUUCAACUUUUGUGAUUUGUGUUGCAAUUUGUAAAAGUUCUACAUUACUAGUUUUGAUAUUAACUGAGUUUUUUUUUUCCCAAAAUAAUUGUUAUCUUUGUGAGUUCAGCAGGAAUAUUUCUUAAGUGAAAUGACUUUGAUAUUUUUUUUUUUAUUUUUUUUUAUGAUGAGGCAUUUAAAUAAACGUCUUGUAUCGUUAAAUAUAAUCUAGAAUGUUUGCAUGGUUUAGAAACUGAAUUUUUUUUUUUUUGUCAUUAUCAUUUACCUAGUGAUCAAAUGGUCUUAAAAUUGAUAAUUUAACAAGUAAAACAAGACACUUUCUUCUUGUUUAACUGCAAAGAAAUAAAACCCUCUCAACUAUUUAGAUCAAGAGUUGUAACCAAGAUUGUGAAUUUAAGAUUUUUUUUUAAUUAUAUUUUUAGAAUGUCGCUAGUUUUGAACUUUCAAAUUAUGCCCACUUGGCAAGCCAGAAAAUAAAUUUUGAAAAUCAUAAAACUCUUUUUCUAGAAAGUUUAUGUAUCCUUUAGUAUAUUUAGCAUCUUGCAUGGUAUUGAUCAUCGAUUUAGACGCUCAAUCAUUAACAAUAAAGUGAAAGUAUAUAAUAAGGCCAAAUUAUUCUACCUUAAUUAUUAAUUAUCUCUUGUUAUUUUGUUACCAAAGAUCAAGUGAAUCGAAACAACAUAUAUAUAUAUUUGUAAGGACUGAGAUUUUGACAGUGUAACUAAACUCUCUGUUGACGAUGUUUAUAUGUGUAAUUUAAUUACAUAAGCACUCGUCAAGUUUCAGGAGAAAAUGAGCUAAAAUGGAGAAGAUACGCAAUUUUUAGUUUUCACUUAAGUGAAUAGUAACUCUGGUUUUCCGGAGAAGCCGCGGCGUAGAGUUGGCUUCUGGCACGUAUUGGACUUCGAACAUAGCAGUCCAAUAGCCCGUUUCGACCAGUUCAGCUAUUCUGGAACUAAUGGCGCUGACGAAUUUUGAGUUUGACGCACGGAUUUCGAGAAAAUCCAAAAAUACAUGUUUUAUAUGUAUUUGUGCGUAGUUCUUCUAUUGGAGAGUUGGAACGGUUCUCGCCGCGAAUCCGCGACCGAUCGAGAUGAACCAAAAUGGUAGCUAUGUUGUCUCCGUGGUGCUGAUCGCACUGGUGCAAUCCGUUCGCAAAUCUGACGGACGGACAAGCGGAGAUCGCACGUUGAUCGAGGAGAGGUUGGCGAUGGCAAAACGGUAAUUUCGCAAAAGUCGCGACAUUUUAUGUACCGUUUUACGCGAGAUCGCACGUGGAGGGGUAUUCGUGCAUUUUAUUCAAGCUGUGAGGGACUCGGAGCGAAAUAUCGAGUUUGGAGGGACUUUUGCACGAUUUAUCGCCUUACGUAUUUAAAGGCUUCUAGGGUUUUCCAUGAAACCCUAACCCUAAACCUAGCUCCAGCGAACCUAGCCGCCCUACCCCCCUUCUCCUCAUACGCCGCGCCCCUCCCGGCCGCCGCCGACCCAACCCCGGCCAGCAGCCAUCGCCACAGCCACCAUCUCCCACCUUCUUCUCUCUCCAUCUCCCUCAAUCCUCCUCUUUCUCUCGGGUUAGAUGCGGGCCGAGGCUACAUUGCCUCCAAGCACCUUGCCGAUGUCGCCCCCUGCCCCGGCGAGCCUCCCCGGCCGACCGCCGCCGCCCCUUGGGGCAGCGCCGCCGCCGCCGGGGCCAAUCCUGCAGCCGCCCCAGGUCUGCUCGGGCCGAGCAGACCUGGUAGCUCCAACCCCACGCCGCAGCCGCCCUUGUCCACCCCUGCGGCCUCCAUCAUGGCCUACGGUACCCCCUCCCCCGGCCGAAAGGGUCGCUGCCGCUGCCACGUGCCUUGGGCGCUGCCGCCCAAGGCUGGAGACCGAGCCAAGCUCGGCGCGGUUGCGCCCGAGCUGCGGGCUACCGCCGCCGUCGCCCGCCGCCUCCUCCUCUCCGUCCGGCCUCUAGGGCCCCGUCGCCGUCGUCCCUGGGCACCCCCGACCGCCGCCGGCUACAGCUGCACCGCUGAAACCCAAGCUCAGCAGUACGGGCUCGGGAUGUUCCAGCUUCGCCGCCGCUGCCUUCCGUCGCCGGCUGGAGCGAGCGCCGGUCUUCCCUGGCCGGCCGUACCCGUUCAUCGCCGGCUACCCCGCCGCCGGAGCACCCUGUCAACCGAGAUGAGCCUGAGCUCUCCUCGGGUUGUGCGGCUAGGGCAUCAUCGUCCUCCGCCUCCGCCACCUCCCGUCGUCGUCCGGUGCAAGCCCUGGUCUCCCCACACUGGCUGCACCCUCCUCUGCCAGCGCGUCCGCCGUCCGGCCUCCCGCGCCCUACCUUGCUCCGAUAAGCUUAGUUAAGAGCUUUUCUUGAGUAGUUUACUGUUCCGAGCAAUCCGAGGCUUCUCGAUCUCUACGGAAGGGAGCACAAUGAUUGUGACUCAUCGCUGAUCAUCGUGCUUACCUUAUUUUCUAUCGGGGAGGCUCCGUUACGCUGUUUCGGCGGUGUAGACCCUAUAAGAGCCUUUUUGGCUGCUGUUUCUGGUUUGCGUGCGUUGUUCCGGCGAUCCGAGGAUGUCCUGAUGCCUCCGGAGGUGAGAAUGGUGAUCGUUGGUCAGUGGCGAUCCCAGUGAUCACCUCACUUUUGAUCAACAGAGUCCGGUUAGUUCUGUUCGGCGUGUUUUUCCUCGACUGCGCGCUGUUCGCUGAACCUUCGGGUUGCUCCCGCGCUUCCCACAGUGAGUCAUUGUGCCCCAGAUCAUGAGCACGGCCUCCGGUACGUCGAGACCUGUCAGUACGUGUCUCGGCGGACCUUGGAAGUCCUUAGUUUGCGUGAACGAGCCAUGUCAUCGCCCGAUUUACAUAAAAUAUAGGGAUUUUACGUAAAGUGAGGGGCAUUUGUGCAAUUGUGCAUUAUGUGGCUACUGUGGGCAGUGCAUAUGUGUGUGUGGUGACCUCUGGACUGAUUAUCCAUGAUCCAUUAGCUUUUGCAGAAAUCGAAGAGUCGAUUUCGAUGCGUUUUGCGGCGAAAUUCGCCGAAAGAACGCGGUUUCGGUUCGGAUUUCUUCCAACGUGGUUUGUUUAUCCUGUGAAUUGUCGCUGAGCCUUGUUGGCUGGUCACCAUCAUCAUUUUGUGGGUUCAGUGAUGAUUGGUGAGCGACGGUGGGUUCCGGUGUCGAAAUAGACACUUUCGGGAACCCGGAUUCGUACAAUUAUCCGGCGAUAAUUUGUGUAGUGGUGUUAUCUUGUGUUUGCUGCCAAAACAUCCAAAUUGGAGUGUUUUGGGACAGCAGGCGACUCGUGACACGAGUCGGUGAGUUUCGGGACACUUAGUGGGUCCCGACGGCGUCCCAGUGUGGUUUUCGGGACUCCCGGCGAGUUACGGUAAUUGGAAUUGGGAAACCGAUCUUCGUGAAAUUGUUUGUGGGGUUGUGGAUACUGUGGUUAUUAGUUGUGGGUUAGAUACUAACCCGGUGAACCCUCUAUAGGUCCUGUCGAUAUUCUUUUGCAGUCAGGAGACAGACGCGACAUCCUUACAGGUGGCUACUUCGAUCCGACGUUGGUACAGUGGUGCAAGCUCGGUGAUGGUUUCUUACCCUUGCUCUUUUGUUAUUAUCCAUGCAUAUAUUAUAUGUUGAGCUUUGCACCUCUAUUGUUUACAUUACACCCACGUUGUUUGGUUAUACUCUGCUCGUUGUUUACAUGCUUAGUAUCCUGAGUAGGAGUAGAGUAGUUUAUCUGUAUGUGAUACCAUGUUUUCUUGUUGCUCUACUUGCCUGUUCUACAUAUCUUAUAUCAUGUUUAUAGUAGAGCGGUUCCGUGACUAUCUGUGAGAUUAGUGACCUAGUCGGUCGAUUCUAGUAUCCCGUAUUUGUGACCUAUUCGGUGAGUUCCUUGACUUUCGUUGUCCGAUGACCGUUAAGGUCGGUAUAACCUGAGGGGUGGUAUUGUCGGUUAGUUGCCGACGGAUGAUUAUAGUUUACUCAUAUCCACUAUUUGACAUGUUUGUGACCUAGUCAGUCAGUUCGUGACUCUUGUUGUUUCUCGUCGUUUGAUGACCUUUGAGGUCGGUGUACCCUGAGGGGUAGGAUUGUCGGCUAGUGGCCGACGGUAGUCCUAGAUUAUAUACUCAGAUGACUUGUUGAUCGAUUCUUGCAUAUAUACAGUAGUUAACUUAUUGAUCAGUAUCUACAUAUUUUUGGUAGGACGUUGAGUUGUUCCAUUCCAGUUGACUUGAUUAGUCAGUACUUGCAUACAGUUGAGAGGGUGUCGAGUUGUUCCAUCCUAGUUGACCUGAGUGGUCGGUUCUUGUACUUUCUUACAGUGGAUGAUCUUUUGGUCGGUUAGCCUCGAGGGGCGGUGAUUGUCGGCUGGUUGCCGACGGUUGGCCUUUGAGCAUAUCAGCAUUGAUCGCCCGACUCGUCGCAUUUCACGAACACUGGUGGUCUGAUCCACAGCAAGGAGUGUUCUUUUUCGAAAAAGUGGUUACUUGUGCCAACCCGUGAGCCCAGCGGUCAGGACUAGGUUAUAUGCAGGUAGAGUGGUAGUGGGCUUUUGCCUGAGGUCCUUAGACCGACACGGCGGUUUAGAUUGGGUAUUUUGGACUUCUUGUCCGGUUGACACAUAUGUCUAUAGUAGCAGUCGUUGCAUGCAUACUUACAGUUCUUACUUUAUAGUUGUCUUGCUACUAUAGUAGAUAUUCAUAUAUGCUUUCUGUUCCAGUUACAGUAGCGGUAGCCGUUAUUCAGUUUAGUUCCUACUUUCUUUCAGUUUAUUGCUACUGUAUUCAGUAUAUCUGCUCAUUACCUUAUAUAUCUCUUUCGUGUAUUAUUGUUGCUACUAUAUUUCCACUGACCCGUGUUGUUGUAUAACUCUUCCUGAUCCGGUGAGUACUCCUCGCCUUCUUCGGCUUGCUGUACCUACUGGGAGGGGAGACAUGUUUACAUGUUCUCUCCUCCCCCACUAUUUUUCAGGUAUCGCGGGCGAUGAGUAGUGGGACGAGACGUGAGGUACGUGUGUAGCGGUCGAUAGAGCCUCCGACCCAGAUUAUUUCGGUUUAGUUAUUACCCUUAUUAUUUUAGUUGUUAUAGCUUAGAUAGUUUAUAUGGUUCAGUAUUUUUAUUACAUUUGAAAUUUUGGGUUUUCAUGAGUGUAAUAAUCUGGUUUGUGAAUUUUGUAAAAUAAAAGGUUUUCUACCCCUCGUAAUAGCGUUUUUAAAAAGAUAAAAGUUUAUGUGUAGGAAAAUAAUUUUCAGAAGAUUUUCUGUGGAUUUUAUAUCUUAGUAUUUCAAAACCUGUUUCUUUGGUUGAAAACAUUUUAACUGAUAGAUGUGGAUUUAUGUUUAAAUAUUGAAUGUAUAAGUAUGAAACUGUGGUGAAUGGUGUAUGAAUGUAUAACUGUUGGUUAUUUGUAUGUUCGUCUGGUUGUGGUUGUAUCAUGUUUGAACUCUUGUACUUGUGCGACGCCGUGCAAAUACAGGGGAGACUCUACUCGUGUGAACAAUAGACCUCCUGUAUUUGUGGCGGAUCUGGCAUACUCUGGGGUCAGGUUUUCAAAAAAAAAAAAUUUCAGACGGUUUUCCGCUAUGCUUUAAACUAAAAAGGGACCCCGGGGCGUGGCAGAUUAAAAUGGUAUCAGAGCCAAGUUACAACCACAACACCAUUCAUAGGUUGUUUUGAAAAGUAAAUGAAACUGAACCAUUGGUUAGGUUGAACCAUAGGAAGACCUACGGUAUAUAGGAACGUGAGUGCGGGGUUUGGGCUUGAGUCCCGGUGUGCAUGUCGAGUUUGGUAAACUCGAAUACACGAUUAUUUCCUUAUGUACUACGAUUUUUGCAAAGCUGGUGUCCUAGUCGGGACUAGUGGCGGUGCUUCUUUUUGGACAUUGAGUGGUGGGGCGGUAUUCCCCAAGUGUUGCCACUCCUGUCAGGUGGGGCCUUGAAGGGCCAGGUGAUCUUCGGGUCUAGGCGAGUGUCAUAACUGCCGACGCCCAGGCCACUCUCUCUACUUAGGACACGAGAGCUGUUGCGAGUGUCUCUACGGAGACGGCAUUGUGAUCAGUUACGAUCGUGACUUCAAUGGGGCUAUUAGGGCGUAGCCCAGGGUUUGGUUAGCGGUCGUUUAGGCGACUGCAUUGUUAGUGUUGCUUCCGCAGAUCUUUGGGUAGGGUUGCGAUGCCUACCUCUCUUCCUUGAUUACUGAUUAGAAUUAGCGGUUUGGGUCUUUUGACCUUGAACUAGUCCUUUCGCCAAAUUGACGUGUACUAGAGUCGGAUUGACACAGUUUUGGUGUCAAGUUUUCGUUGGGGCAUACAUCGUAUGCGGAUAUUCUAACACCUAAAUUGGUGUGUUGUGGGUUAGUUGUAGUUGGUGAUAGGUUUCGUCUUGAUUCGAGAGACUCCAGGUUGUUGUAGGAAUUCUCGGAACUUUGACUAAAGCUCGGUUGUGGUGUGAAAAUCGGUUAGAGAAACCAUUUCUUAAAGCCUCAGUCCGUGUGGUUCGCAGCUUAGUGUUGCUAGUAGCCUUCGGAUGUUGAAAGUUAUAGGACUCCCUGUGAGUCGGUUCAGGGUCGUUCUAAUUUCGAAUGUCGACUUGUAAAGUUGAUGUUUCGAUAGUAUUGGUUGUGAGCUUCUGGUUCAGUUAAGAGGUAUCAAGGGGCUUGAUACUUCGACGUGUCACACUUCCAACUCGUUGUUGAUAAUGGAUCUUCGGAUAUUUUGCUUUUCUUUUGAUAAGUAUAUUGGCUGCAGACAAUAUACUGUUGAAAGAGUGACGAAAUACUAUCUUCCCGUUUGGGACUUAUGGAUUGGGUCGAUGUGUUCUCUAGAGUGUCUUGUGGGAAAGCUUGAGUGUCGAUCUUUUCUGACCACGUAGCGAGCCUUGGGUUAUUCCUUAGUAGGUUUGGCACAGUUGACUUAUCGUCACUGAUAAAGGGGUUUUGACUCUAGUUCGAGUCUGGGUGUUCGUAGCUCUUAGUUGUGCUUCCCACAGUUAAAAGGUUUGCUUGGUUAGUAGUCUCGGUCUAUUUGCCGGGAGGUUCGAAAUCAGUGAUUGAGUGACUUGAGCCUGGUGGUUGGCCUUGAUUGUCACCAUAUAUGAUAGCGUAUAAGGUUGUGACUCGGCUUAGCGUGCAAAUCUUGGAAGGCUAUACUUGUCCGAUUAUUUGGUGACAGGUACGCCUGGGUCUCAAUGAGAUAGGCAUUUGGUGUUGCUCGGAACAUCGAUCGCUAGGGUCCAUGAUAGGACGGCAGCGACAGGGUCUUGUUGAGACAGGUGUUGAGCAUCACCAACGGUUAGUAUCGCUUUUGUGAUUGGCGACCUAUGCAUCAAGUGAUGGACUUGCAAAGAGCUUUCAGUGGUCUGUUGGUACCGUAUUAAGUUUGAGGAGACAUUGUCUAGCCCAAUUGGUAUCGUCAGUUGGACCUUUUGGUCAGAUGUAAAGUAACGUCUUGGACCUAGGACUAUAGAUUGUCGCAGAUGGCUUUAGGUUGAUGAGGUUUUGACAGUUUGUGUGGUUACUAGUGGAGACUGUGGUCUCCGGUGUGAGUGAUUUUGACUCGAAUUUUAGAACAACGUUUCUUAUUCGCUCGUGGUGAGCAAGUUGACGUUGUUGGCUAGUCAGAGUGUGUCUUUUCGGCCUAUAAAAAUACACUCCAGACUUGUGGUGUUGACUCGUGUCUCUUCUACGUGAACCUUCGACGUAAUCGAGUCGGUUACUGGUAUGCGGAUCAAGGUUGAGUGUAUUUAGAAUUUCUAAGUGGAGAAUUUUUAUCUCAGAGUUGGUAAUUGGGGAUCUGAUAAUCCUAGUCGCGGGAUUGUCUUUGUCCGCAGGUUAUAGGAUAAUGUUGAUCCCGGUGAGUUUUGGUCUGUAGAUUUUGGGUUGUUACGUUUUCCCUCGAUUUGUCCUGGAGGAAUCGUAGUCCUUGGUGUCUCCCCUUCUUCGGAGGUUGAGCUGUCCAAAUGAAUGGUGACUGAUCAGUACUCAAAGGUGAUAUCACAGAGGUGGAAGUAAUAUCCGAAUUUGAUUUUGGUGGGUAUGUGGUCAAGUUUCGGGGACGAAACUUCUUUUAAGGGAGGGAUAAUAUAAGGACUGAGAUUUUGACAGUGCAACUAAACUCUCUGUUGACGAUGUUUAUGUGUGUAAUUUAAUUACAUAAGCACUCGUCAAGUUUCAGGAGAAAAUGAGCUAAAAUGGAGAAGAUACGCAAUUUUUAGUUUUCACUUAAGUGAAUAGUAAUUCUGGUUUUCCGAAGAAGCCGCGGAGUAGAGUUGGCUUCUGGCACGUAUUGGACUCCGAACAUAGCAGUCCAAUAGCCCGUUUCGACCGGUUCAGCUAUUCUGGAACUAAUGACGCUGACGGAUUUUGAGUUUGACUCACGGAUUUUAAAUCAUUGAAUUUAAAAUUUAAAUAGUAAUAUGAAAUUCCUCUAGAGAAAACUAAUUGUAGAAAUCUUACUCUUUAAGUUUUUUAUGCAUUACGUUUUAAACUUGUGCGAAUAAACUGUCUUUUAAAUCUUGGUAGAAAUUUAGUUUUUAAAUAGUAAUAUGAAAUUCCUCUAAUUUAAAUUUCACUUUUAAAUUUUAAGUAUUUAAUUUUUAAAAUUUAAAUUCAUCGUAUUUAGAAAUAAAACUAUUUCUAAAAUUUCUAUAAUUUAAAUUAAUGCAUAAUUUGAGAAACACUAAAACAUUUAAAGUAGAUUCCUAAAUUAAUGCCUAAUAAUUGCAUAAAUUUGGUUAAUCAAUUAAUUUUCUAAAUUAGUGCUAAUUAAUGCAUAAAUUUAGGACCUCAAUUAAAAGUUUCUUUAAAUAUUAUAUUAUUUAAUUACCAAACUAACCUUGAAUAAAAUAAUCCUUUUACCUGCUAAGUAUUAAAGUUAUAUUUUUACUCUCUAUUAAUCAACGGUUAAAUUUUUUUUUUUUUUAUUUUUUUAAAGUACCGAAUCAUUUCUCCCAAAAUAAUUAAUCUGAAAUUUAACUAGAGAAAAUACCGCAACCAAAGAAGCUCUUGAAGCAUAUGGUUUAGAGCUUGAGGAGUGAGAGAUGAUCUGGACGAACAGUGCAGCAACCAAGAAACAUCUUUCCUCUUGACUUCUCCCAUCAGCACUUGAGUGCAGUGGGCCAUGAUGAAUUAAUUUUAGGGAAUCUUUUGAUUAUAUACCUUUUACUCCUUAUCAAAAUUUUUUAAUUUAUUUUGAAAUUAUCAAAAUAUUCUUUCAAAAUCAAAUCUUAUUAGUAAACCGCAGCAAAAAUGAGGAUAUUUGAAGAAAUUAUUUAAAAUCAGUAAGUAUAUUUUGAUCCUCCAGGAGUAAAUAUAUAAGAUAUUUUGAAGUUUUGAAGAACAUAUUAGAUAUUAUUUUGAAAUUUUAUACAUAGGAUGAAAACUUCGAUUAACUGCCCUGUGGCCCAGCGUGUUAUAUGCUUCGUCGUACUGUAUUUGAGAUAUCUAAAGUAUAUAUAUGCUUCGGCAUUCUGUGUUCAAAAAGUCUGACAAAAUUUUUUACUUUGUCAAUUCUACAUUCGGAAAGUUUUACUAUGUUGUUAUAUAAUUUUACCUUUUGUUUGAGAGUAAAUUAUUCGGUCCUCAAAUUAUGAGACACGUGACAUUUCGGUCCUUAAAUUUUAAUUUGUUGUAAUUUUUAGCUUUUAUACUGCAUAUUACAUUUUAGUUCUCGAACUUUAAUUAGAUUGUAACGUCCCAGCCCACUAGCAAAAAUAAUUCGUUGGGCCCAAACACUGGCCCAAAAUGCUUAGCCCAGUUAUUAUUACCAGUGUCUAAGUCUCUUAUAUACCCAAUCAUAUCCCCAUUUCUAUUUUCGAUGUGAGAUUAUUGGGGUGACUCGUCUCGCUAGCCUUGUCAUCCAGACCCUGGCAUAGCCGGCUAUCUUGUUAUUCAGACUCUGGCAUACCCGAUCACCUUGCCUUUCAGACCCUGACUCAGUCUCGCUAGCCUUGUCAUCCAGACCCUGGCAUAGCCGGCUAUCUUGUUAUUCAGACUCUGGCAUAGCCGAUCAUAUUGCCUUUCAGACCCUGACUCAGUCGAGAUUCGCAAUACAUUUUUGGCUGGUGAACCGGCUCUGAUACCAAAUGUAACGACCCAGCCCACUAGCAACAAUAACUCGUUGGGCCCAAACACUGGCCCAAAAUGCUUAAGCCCAGUUAUUAUUACCAGUGUCUAAGUCUCUUAUAUACCCAAUCAUAUUCUCAUUUCUAUUCGAUGUGGGAUUAUUGGGGUGUGACAUAGGUGUAAUUCUAGCUCGACGGAUAAGGCAUGUGAUAUUUUGACUUGCUGAAUUAUUGGAAUUAAAUUUCACAGCCUAUUUUUUUAAAAUAAAUAUGGAUAAAAUAUUAAAUAUCUAAUUAAUGCAGCAUUUUAAAUAUUGUUGCAUCAUCAAAUAUGAUAUUGUUACAAUUCAAAAAGUUCGAAGAUUAAAAAGUUCUAUUUUAACUUCUUUGAUUUGUGCUGCAAUCUGUAAGAUGUUGUAGAAGGUCAUCUCGUUGUACAUUAGCAAGUUUAAAUCCAAAGAAAAUCACUAUCAAUUAAUUGCAUUCUCUGUAUGCCAAAAAGAAUUACUCUCUGAUUGCAUGCACCGUUUGGUUUGGGAAUAGGGAUAGGGAUAGGCUCUUAUCCCCCCCUUUAUACCCAAACGCUAAUUUUUUAUUCGAGAAUAGUAGUUCUCGGUUAUCCCCACCAACACCUUCAUUUUCUAUAUAAAACUUUCUAAUAUUUUUCUUAUCCUCGGGAACAACCCAAUUUUCAUCCAAACGCUAUUUUUCUUAUCCUCAUACUUGUACCUAUCCCUGUAAUAACUAGUUCUUGCUUAUACCCGAACCAAACGGUAUAAUAGAGAAUUAAAUAGCUUAUAGCAAAGAAAAUAAAAAACAAGAACACUUGGAACUUAAAAAUUAAUUAAAAAGAAUAAGUGGAAGAGGAACAACUGACCACAGAUCCAAGGAAGAGAUUGAAGAGGGGGCUGCUCCAAAUAUCAAAUUUGAUAAGGAAAUAAAUAAUUGGGCGCAAAUGAUUUGGACAGUACAGCUAUUGAUGGAGAAACUUCUUCCCUCUUUAUUAUCAGAGAUUCUAUUAUGUAUCAGUCAUACCACAUCAUCUAUUAAAAGUCAAUUAUAUCCCUUCUUUUGAGUAAAAAAUAUAAUAAAAAUAUUUUUCUAUUAACCAUGAUGGGAUGGGUGAACAAUCAUAAAGGAACAAUUUGAUUGGUAGAUGACGACACAUCACCAAUACAACUAAUACAUUCUAGAUUUUUUUUUUUUCCUUUAAUGUUCCUAGCAGCACUUGAUUGCAGUGGGCCAUGAUGAAUUAUGGGCCUGUUUCGCCAAUAUUCUAAAAAAUAAUAAUUUUUACAGGAUUAAUUUUAAUUUAGAAAAUUAAUUUUAGUUAAAAAUUGUAGGGCGCUUAGCUUAAUCUAACAAAAAAUUGAUUUUUUUAAAAUUUUCUUUAUUAAUUAUAAUUAAUAAUUUUUUGUCAAUCUUAUUUUAAAAUUUGAAUUCAAAAUUUGAAUUUGAAUAUAAAGUUUUUAAUUUUAAAGUUAAACAAUUAAAAAUUUAAAUUUAAAUUUAAAUUGUUAAAUAAUAGAAAUAAAUUUGAAUUUUCAAUUUUCAAAUUUUAAAUUCCAAAUUUCAAGCUUAUAAUUUAAAAUAUAAAUUUUAAAAUUUAAUAUUAUUUUAAGAAUUUCGCAAAAUAUAAUUUAAAAUUUAAAUUUAUUUGAUAAUUUAAUUUAUUUUAAUAAUUAAUUUUGAAAUUGUAAAUUUCAAAAAUUUAGAAUUUUCAAAUUAAAUCUAAAUUUUAAAUUGAAAUUAAAGGUUUAUAUUUUAUUUAUAAUUUAAAAUUUAAAUUUGAGAUUUGAAAUUAAAAACUAAAAUUUUAUUAUUAAAUUUAAAAUUUAAACUUUCAAAUUGAAAAUUUAAUUUAAUUUUAAAUUUUAAAAUUGAAUUUUAAUUCGAUUUUAAAUUUUGAAUUUAAUAUAAAAUUUGAAUCUUAAUUUUAAAUUAAAUUUUGAUUCCAAGUCAAAAAUUAGAUUUAAAAAGUAGGUUUUAACAAUUUAUUUUGGCUCAAAAAUCAGAAAAUUGAACCAGAUUUUGGAAGAAGUUAUCAUAUACUCUAUUGAUAAAAAAAAACUAUAUAUAUAUAUAUAUAUAUAUUAGGCUGGAAUACUAUUAAUAGUAAAACGCUCUUUUUGCUAUCAAGUUUUUAACCCUUGAUGAAAAAUUGAUAGGGUUAGGAUAAUAUUAGUCGGUUAGAGUUGAGUGGUCCCCCUAGGUUGAGUGGUGCCCACUAGGUUAUAGUAUUUAAUCCAAUGGUUAGAAAUAAUAAAAAGAGUUGAUCCAAAGGCCUAAAAAACUGAUAGCAACAAUAAAAUUUGCUACUAAUAGUAGCCCAGUCCAUACUAUAUAUAUAUAUAUUAUAUAAUAUAUAUUAAGAGUAAAAGACUUUGUGUUUCUGACUUUCUAGUCUUGGAUCAGGUUCUUUGAUUAUUUCUAACAUUGAAUUAUUAUCAUCCUAUCAGCCGCUCAAUCCUAGGAGCACUAUCAUUCCAACUUAAUACAACUUUUUAAUCAAGGGUCAAAAAGUUGGAAGCAUCAAGUAGAGAGAAAGAGAGAGAGAAUUGGACUAGAAUACUAUUAAUAGUAUUUUGGCUCUUUUACUAUCAAAUUUUUAAAUUUUGAAUGAAAAAUUAUAGAAUUAGAAUAAUAGUGGUGUUGGUAUAGUGGUGAUCCCCCUAGGGUUUAAACAAAACAAGUUAAGUAAUAGUUAAUUCAAUUGUCAUAAUGUCACGUUAACCGGCAGAAAUUAUCUGGCUACUUAUUCUACCAAAGUAAAAUUUCAUCUAAAAACUGAAAUAAAUUUUGAUCAGUGAUCUAAUUGAAAUAGAAGUUAAAGUUCGAUAACUUGAUUUGAAAAAAAAAAAAAAAAAACUAAAAAUUUUAUGAAGUAAAUGAAAUUUCAGGAAAAAUUAGGCGACUAAUAUUGUAUUAGACUUAAUUAUAUGCAAUUACUUGUACAUGUGUACGACAUAUAUACUUAAAUACAUCAUAUUGAUAUACACUUUCAUAUGCGUAUAUAUAUUAUUUAAUUACUCUCUCCCUCUUCCUCUAUCCUGCACUUAAUUUCUAUCUUUAAGCCAAUUUAAAUAUUGGGUUAGUUGACUUUGAAUAAGUAUAAAGCGAACCAAAUUUUAAUUUUUUUCAUCUUAUUUCAUUUUCGUGUGAACAUGGUGGAAUCGAGUUUUUAUACUAAUCAAAUAUAGGGAAACAAACAACCCGCCCCUCGUCCGCAUGGUGCCACUCCUAUUUAUAGGCAAAUCCUGGCAGAGACCCAGCCUGAGAGAGGAACCCCCAGCCACUUCCGGCGGCGCCGGAGACGGAAGAAGGGAUUAGAGGAAAGAUUUGCAGAGACAGGAGAAUUAGGAUGCACAUGGGGAGCAAAGAGAAGAGAUACCGCAACCACAGGGGCACACCGGCCAAACCUGACGCAGAGAUGUAACGGGCGUACGUCGGCCGCAGGAGAAGGUCAGCAUAGGGCCCGACAAGCAUCCGACAGGGAGAGGGGAUGGGGCCCGGCUCGGAGAGAGAACGACUCGGAGAGACACGGGACGGGAGGCACGUGACGCCGCUCGUCGCCAGCGAAGGAAGCGGGCAGAGCUGAGGAGGCGGGGGGUCGCUGGGGAGGCGACGCGUGGCGGUUUAGGGUUCGACUUUUAUUAUAUGUAUAGAUAACCUUAUAGUGAUAAGAGUUAAUUUCAUGAGUACAUAUAUACCCUUCCGUCCACCUCUAAUUUUGUCAAUAUUAAAAAUGAUCUUUUAAUUUCAAGAAACUAUUCAAAUUACUUUAUUAACUCAGUUUAAAAUUGUAUGCUAAUUAUUUUUUUCCUUUAAAAUUGUACUAUUCAUUUCCAGCAUAUAUAAAAUUUGUUGAAAUGAAUUCUGUUUAUUGCCCAUACCAUUAUAUGGAGCUAGACUGGUAUACUAUCGGUAGUACGGAGGCCUCCGUGCUAACAAGUUGUUUUUUAAUGAUACGGCUUUUAAAUCAACGAUCGGCUCCAGUAGACUUGAUCUACACUAGAAAAAGUAUUUGAAAACUAAAUUUUGUAACUUUUUGACAUUAUUUGACUAGUAUCCUUAAUUAUCUUUCAUAGUAUUGAUCAUUGAUUUAGAUGCUCAAUUAUCAACAAUAAAGUGAAAAUACUACAUGAGGCCAAAUUAUUCUACCUUAAUUAUUAUCUCUUGUUAUUUUGUUUCCAAAGAUCAAGUGAAUCCAAACAACACAUUAAUCAACAAAGACAUAUAGCAUACUUCUUGAACCCUUUUGCAGAAUCAACUACUUGAUAGCAAAGAAAAUAAAAAUUAAUUAAGAAGAGUAGGGGAAGAAGAAGAAGAACAACUAACCACAGAUCCAGAAAGGAGAUUGAAGAGGGAGCUGCUCCAAAAUAAUUAAUCUCAAAUUUAACUAGAGAAAAUACUGCAACUAGAGAAGCUCUUGAAGUAAAUGUUUUAUUAGGGAUUGAGGAGUGGGAGAUGAGGAUGAACUACACAUUAUAAACAAGAAACUGGGAGCAAGUGAUUUGGACAUUGCAGCUACCAAGAAACUUCCCUCUUGACUUUUCGCAUCAGUACUUGGUUGUAGUGUGCCAUGGAAUUAUAGGGGCUCCUUUUGAUUAUUUGCCUUUUACUACUAUUCAAAAUUUUUAAAUUUAUUCUAAAAUUACUAAAAUAUCUAUGUAAAAUCUAAUCUCAAUAAUAAUAAAUGGCCUUUUUGCAUAAAAUAUCUAUUAGUUUCGAGAUUUCAUAAAAAUGGGUCACUAUUUUGAAUUUUACAAAUUCAGCUCAAAUUUUUAGAAAACUGACUAAAAUAUUCUUAUUCCUCUCUCUCUCUCUUUCUCUCUCUCUCGCUCUCGCUCUCGCUCUCUCUUUCCCCCCGACCCUCCUUGCCUCCUCCACCGUCUUUGCGACGUCGACCUUCGGCGACGGUAAGAAGGAUGUUGCCGCCUCCUCUUUCUCCGCCUUCCCCAAUGCCGGUGCCGGCAUUGACGCUGACGCUGAAGGAAGAGGACUUGGAGCGGGCGCGAAUGAGGGCGGAGUAGAUGGAGGCGAUGAGUUCGUGGCUGUCACACCCCAAUAAUCUCACAUCGGAUAUGAAUGAGAAUGUGAUUGGGUUUAUAAAAGACUUAGACACUAGUAAUAAUAACUGGACUUAAGCAUUUUGGGCCGAUGGUUGGGCCCAACAGUUAUUAUUGCUAGUGGGCUGGGUCGUUACAUUUGGUAUCAGAGCUGAUUCACCAGCAAGAAAUGUGUGGUGAGUCUCGGCUGAGUUAGGGUCUGAAAGACAAGAUGAUAGGCUAUGCCGGAGUCUGAAUGACAAGGUGGCCGGCUAUAGCAGGGACUGGAUGACAAGACUAGCGAGACAAGUCUCACAUCGCAUGGUGAUCUUGCGCUGUGUGUGUGAUUGAACUGACUAGUUUGUCACACCCUAAUAAUCCCACAUCGAAUAUGAAUGGAGAUGUGAUGAUACUAAUAAUAAUAAUUGGGUUUAAGCAUUUUGGGCCAGUGGUUGGGCUGGGUCGUUACAGUAGCCGAGGCGUUGCUCGCUAUCGCACGUGAUGGUGAGAAUGAAGUUGCGCCCGCGCUUCUCCAAUGAGCGAAUAAAGAUGCAAAGGAUAGAAAAUAAAUAAAUAAAAAUAAAUAAAUAUUUUUUUUCUUGAAAGACCAUUGUGUAUCAUAAAUAAAAAUAAAAAAUAUUUUUUUCUUGAAAAUCAUUAUAUAUCAUCGCUCCUACAGAAAUGAUCAAGAAUCAGAGAAGAAGGAAAAAGAAUAUAAAGUUGUUAUUAAAAUAAAGUUGCAUUAUUUCACAAGAAAAUUACAUUUUUCGAGACGAAUGUUGUAUUUUUUGAUACAAAAAUUAUACUUUUUGAGCAAAGUUAUAUUAUUUGAGCGAAAAUUGUACUCUACCUACCAUCCGAUUAUCGUCUUGAAGCGGCUCCUCCUCGCCUUCCUCCUCACGCUCAUCUGCACCUCCGAGGCUCCUUUUCACUCAAUCAAGGACGGGCUCAAGGCGCUCUUUGGCAUUGCACUCUACCCGCUCAACCGCUCUGUGUUGGUUGAGCUCGGCGCCAUGUCCGCACUCUUCUCCCUUGUCGUUAUUUUGCAUUCGUCACGCUUUACCCGCUCAACCGUCCUGUGCUGGUCGAGCCCAGCGUCGUGCCCGCACUUUUCUCCCUCAUCGUCAUUCUGCAUUCGUCACGCUCUACCCGCUCAACCGCCGAUGCUGGUCAAGCUCGGCGUCGUCCCUGCGCUUUUCUCCCUCAUCGUCAUUAUGCAUUCGAAAAGUUUUAGUGUUAUAUAAUUUUAUAUUUUGUUUUGGGGUAAAUUACACUUUUGGUCCUCAAACUAUGACGUGCGUGAUAUUUUAGUCCUCAAAUUUUAAUUUAUUAUAAUUUUUGGCUCGACUUAUGCGAUACAUUUUAUUUUAGUCCUUAAACUUUAAUUAGGUAUAAUAUCUGGCUCGACCUUUAAGACCUGUGACAUUUUAGUCCUUGAACUUGCUGAAUUAUUACAAUUAAGUCUCACAACCAAAUUUCUUUUUAAAAUAAGUAUGGAUAAAUUAUUUGUAUUCAACUAAUAUAGUAUUUUAAUUAUUAUUACAUCAUCAAAGACGAUAUACUACAAUUCAGAAAGUUCAAGAACUAAAAUAUCACAUGCUUUACAAUUUAAGCUAGAAAUUAUAACUAAUUAAAAUUUGAGGACAAAAGUGUCACUAACCUUAUAGUUCUAACGACAAGUUAUAACAAAUUAAACUUUGAGGACGAAAGUAUCACGCGUCACAUGGUUUGGAGGUGAAAAGUGUAAUUUACCGUUUGUUUUACCAUAAAAAAAUAUUAUUAAAUAUAAUAGUAAAAUAUUAUGAUUCGCAAAUUAUACAAAAAUGCUAAAUUUUGUAGGUCAAAUUAUGUAAAAUAUGCGCUGACGCACAGCAGCUACGCUGUGGUUUUUGUAAUGGUCCGCCAAAUAGAGUAUAUCCCUGACGCGCUUUGGCCGCUGAGUCCUGAAAUAUUGUUAAAAUCAAAAAUAAAAAAAAGACGCGGAGAAGACUCGCACGACCCACGCGAGUCGUCUCCGCGUAGGGACCCAGUGAUGCUACCAACUAUACAUAUAUACUCCCUGCACCUGGUGUACUUUUACAUAUAUAUAUAUAUAUAUAUAUAUAUAUAUUGUAAAUAAUAUUUGGUAAUCAAUAUUUUAAAAUUAAGAAAGGAGCUGGGAGACGAUGUACUUUAUAUCUGGGAUAGGUGGAUGGUUAAGAAAGGAUUGCAGAAUACGAGGCAUAAUCUUUUUGAAUUGGUUGCGUACUGGUAGGUUAUUUGAAAGACUAGAAACGAUUGAUUUUUCCGAACAUCCAAUUCCGAUAAUAAUUUUGUUGAUAGUUAAUAGAAAUUCUGUGCACAUAGUAAUUAAUGACUUUGGAAAUUCAUAAUUUCGUGCUCAAAACUCCAAUUCCAAUAAAAUUUAGUUUAAUUAGAUGAUCGUCUCAGAGUAUCUUUUGUAUAGCAGGACUUUCAGUUUUUGAAAAUUAUGAGAAAUAUUACAUAAAAUAAUGAUGAUUGAGAGAUGAUUGUCUUUUUCUGAAUUUCAUAGAUUUUAUCAAAGAAAUUUUAAAUCCACCAAAAAUGCACCAAGUUAACUACUAGACCUUACAAAUAAGCCCCCACGAGUAUUAAAAACCCUCGGGAGCUAAGAAAAAUAAAUUCACCAAAAUUGACUUCCGUUUGUUCAAAUAAAAAUAAAUCCAGAUCGUGCUAUUAUUACAUAAUAGUGUAAUAAAAUAUGAACGAGGCUAUUGUACUAUUAAUAGCACCGAGUUAUUGGUGCUAUUAGGGUUUUGGCCAUUGGAUAAAAAAAAUGUAAGGUUAGAAUAAUAAUGGACCUCUAGGGUUGAGUCGAUGGUUUGUUGAAUAGUAUGAUCUAACGGGUGAAAAUAAUCAAAUGGAUAAAUUUAACAGCAAAAAACUUGGUAGCACCAAGGAGGAGGGUAAACUUGUAAUCUAGAUAAUUGCAAGAUUACCCGCCAGUAAUAAUACGAGAUACCCACUCUCAUUCGAUAAUAUUUUCGGAAUAGUCUUACAUCAUUUGUAAUGCUACUUUGCCAAUUAAAUUAUAGACUGGAUGAACCAAAUAUAAUAAUCUUAACAAAUUUACAUAUAAUUUUGACAGGAUAAUCCGAAUAUUAUAUGACAGGAUAAUCCGAACCAUCCUUUGUGAAUUAUGAAAGUGAUCAAUUUUGUUAAUCAUAAGGUCUACGUGAAUGCGGCCUACGCGCAACGGACGGGAGUUCUGAAAUUAAAAUAAAAAAUAAAAAAAAAAAAGAACACGGAGAGGACUCCCAUGACUCGGUCUACUUCCGUACAUGUAAAUUAUAAAUAAUAUUUGGAAAUUAGUAUUUUAAAAUUAAAAUCUAAUUCAAUAUAUAUUUGAUUUAUAGUAUUUAAAAGGAGGGUUUUUUAUAAACAAUUCUAUGAAGUUUUACAAUUACAAAAAUAUUCUUCUACAAAAAUUACCUAUAAAAGUAGGCCUCUAAUAUGCCAGGUGAGAUAGUCCGCUGAUAAAAUAUUGAAAGUGGUAAAUAAUUUACCAUAUUUAAAAGCAGCCAAGUAUUUACCGUCGAUAAUGGCAUGUUUGUUUGUUAAUAUAGGUUCGACAGGUGGGAUAAGUGUAUUCACAGUUCCUAGUAAGAUUAGGUCAGAGAUUGCACUGUUCUAUAGAUAGCUAGUAUUGGAUUAUGAUAGUAUAGUGACAUAUAGCUGUAGAUUGUUUUCAGUUCCUUUAAUAUCAUUGAGCAUACUUUCUGUAGACUUAGUGGGUGAACCGUUCAGAUCGGUAGCGGUGCCCACUGAGGACUACUUUUUGCAAUAGUUCUCACGCCCUGUUGUUGACUCUUUUUGCAGAGCCUUCUGUUAUGGCUGCUGCUAUUGCUGAGAUUGAUCGCGGAAAAGGUCUUGCGAGUUAGAGUCCUUCCUGACUAGUUGCAGAGCUAGAUGAGUAUCUUCUACAGGUAGUGUUAGUUUUUUGUUCUUAUACAUACUGAUAUUAGUAUCUCGCCGGAGCUAGAAUUUUUGUAUCAAAAUACUAUGUAUAUAUAUAUAUCGCGAAGCUCUGUUAUUAUAUACGUAUUUCUUUUUAAUAGCUCUAUAUUAUUUGUUUUAGUAUUGUAUGAUUACAGAUACAGAUACAGCUAUCACUUCGUAUACAGGAGAAAUUCCUAUAUAUACGGCGGGUCUGUUAGCGUACCGAAAAAAUGAGUAAUCCGGGGGCGUGACACUAAUAAUUUUGUUGAUAGUUAAUAGAAAUUCCGUGCAUGUAGUAAUUAAUGACUUUGGAAAUUCAUAAUUUCAUACUCAAAACUCUAAUUUCCAUAAAAUUUAGUUUAAGAUGAUCGUCUCAGAGUAUAUUUUGUAUAGCAGAAUUUUUCGUUUUAAAAAAUUAUGAAAAUAUUACAUAAAAUAAUGACUUGAUUGCGAGAUGAUUGUUUUAAUUUUCUGAAUUUCAUCGAUUUUAGCGAAGAAAUUUUAAAUCCACCAAAAAUGCACGAAGUUAACUAUUCCACCUUACAAAUAAGUGACCACCAGUAUUAGAAACCCUUGAGCUAAGAAAAAUAAAUUCACGAAAAUUGACUUCCUUUUGUUUAAACAAAAAUAAAUCCAAAUCGUGCAUUCAUUAUAUAAUAGAGUAAUAAAAUAUGAACUAGGCUAUUGUACUAUUAAUAGCACUAAGUUAUUGGUGCCAUUAGGGUUUCGGCCAUUGGAUGAAAAAAUGUAGGAUUAGAAUAAUAGUGGGAUAAUUAAGUAGAUGGUUUGUUGAAUAGUAUGAUCUGACAGCUAAAAAUGAUCAAAUAGGUAGAUCUAACGGUGAAAAACUUGAUAGCACCAGGAGAGAAGGUAAACUUGUAAUUUAAAUAAUUGCAAGAUUACCCGCCAGCAGUAAUAUGAGAUACCCACCCUCAUUCCGUAAUAUUUUCGGAGUAAUCCUACAUCCUUUGUAAUGUUACUUUGCCAAUUAGAUUAUAAACUGGAUAAACCAAUUAAAUAUAAUAAUCUUGACAAAAUUACCUAUAAUUCUGGCAAGAUAAUCCGAAUCAAAUACACCCUUUGUAAAUUAUGAAAGUGAUAAAUUUUGUUAAUCAGAAGGUCUACAUGAAUGCGGCCUACGCGCAGCGGACGCGAGUUCUGAAAUAAAAAUAAAAAUAAAAAAAAGAACGCGGAGAGGACUCCCGUGACUCAGGCACUGGUCUACGUUUGUACAUGUAAAUUAUAAAUAAUGCUUGGAACUUAGUAUUUUAAAAUUAAAAUCUAAUUCAAUAUAUAUUUGAUUUAUAGUAUUUAAAAUGAGGUUUUUUUUUUUUUAUAAACGAUCCUAUGAAGUUUUAUAAUUACAAAAAUAUUCUUCUACAAAAACUACUUAUAAAAGUAGGCCUCUAAUAUGACAGGUGAGAUAGUUCGCUAAUAAAAUAUUGAAAGUGGUAAAUAAUUUACCAUAUUUAAAAGCAGCCAAGUAUUUACCGUCGAUAAAAGCAGUGAAUAGUUAACCGCCUUUAGUGUAUUUUCCUUACUGGUUUGGGGGAAGCAUUUAAAAACAGUGAAUAAUUAAUCGCUUUUAGAAAAUUAUUUAACUUUUAGAAGACAGUAAACCAUUCAUCGUUUUAUAAAAUGGAGCGAAUGGUUUCACCCCUUUUCUUUAUGUCCUCAUCAUGAUAGCGCCCAUCCGACUAGUUGAAAUCUAUUUUUACACAUAAAAAUUUGAAGGGUCUAGUUUUAGAAUAAAAAUUUUGAAGAAGGCUAUUGGCCUAAAAGCCCAUUUUGAAAGUCUCAUUAUGAUGGCCUAAAAACAACUUCACACUAUGCUAAUUUUUCUUCUUUUUUUUUGUUCUUUUAUUUAUUUGUUGGGUGUACAUGCAUGCAUAAUUAAUUAACAAAAGAUUAUGUGCAUUAUGAUCUCAUGACGCUCAGAUCAUAGGCUCUCUUUAUGUUAUAGGAUAUGCUAAUUAUUUUGCUCUUUAAAAUCGCACUAUUCAUUUCCAACAUACAAUUAAUAACUUAUUGAGUUGUCACGCCAAACGGUCCGUAAACUUCCCUAAAAAAAAAAAACACGAAAAAAGAGAGAAAAUCUUUUUUUUUUUAGUUUUUUAAUAUUUUUUUUUUGAAAAUGAGCCUGUAGGGCUCUUAAAAUAUAAACAUUAUUGAUUAAUAUUUAGCUAAAAGUAUGUUCUUUGUUAGGAAGAGAACACAAUUAUUUGUGAAUUUCUUAGUCAUAUAACUUUGGGGAAAAAUUUUUGGAAUAUCUUUUAGUCAUAUGAUUAUGAAUCCACCAUAUAUAGUUAUUCCAAACAGAGUAUGCCAUAUAAUUGUCACAGGAUAAAGUUAUAAUUAAUUCAUAAAUUAAUCACUCCACAUAAGAGGGAACAAAAAUAGCCAAAACCUUAAUUAAUCAUAUUCUCCUUUUUUUAAUAGAAUUUCUUUUUAGAAUUAACGAAAGAAAUCAUAAUUUUGUUUGGUAAUGAGGAACAGAUCAAAUUCAAUAGAAUAAAAAAAAAGCAAAGUUACAUAUAGAUGACUGACCGUCUCUAGAACAAGUGGCAAAGAGCUUGAUGGUUGGUAUCCGAAACCUAAGUUCGAAUCCUAGUUGAUUCACAUUUCUAGCUCAGUUUAUUUCUAAAUGAAAUAAAUGAAACGGAUAGCGUGCUACAUAUUUCUCAAAAAAAAAAAAGAAAAGAAAAAAAAGUUACACAUAGGUGGUGUAGCCAUGUAAUAAUUCUAUUUCAUUGGAACCGACAAUAUUUGUCUUGGUAUAACCAAACGCCUAGGAGUUGCUAAAUCUUAUUUCAUUGAGAACUCAAUUAAUUCUCUCCUUAAUUUGGCUAUAUAUAAUGCAUGGCUCCGGUGUAGAGUUUACUUAGAACUCACAAUCCAAUUGGAUUCUUAAUUAAACCCUAUUUAUUUUUUAAUAAAUCUAAAUCUCAUGUCAUAUAUCCUAAUUAAAUUGGAAUUUGACUUUAAUUUAAAUAACUAUAAAUUUAAUUUUCUCACUAAUCUAUUAGAUAGCAAUAUUUGUUGAAUAAACUAUCUCAUCUAUUUUACUCUAUUCUUAUCAUGUUAUAUCGUCAAGUCCUUUUUGUUUAGGAUUAACCCCACGGAGUUAAGAACUGACAUUCGCUUUUAUCUUUUUCUUCAAAAUUUUUUUCAAUCUUUUUAAUAAGAGUAAAAUAUAGAAAACUCUAUGUAAAUACUUAUUUUUUUACUUCCUCCACCGACUUAAAAAAAAAAAAAAAUCUAUACAUUACCUCUUCAAAAUUUCAAGUUGAUGCGUUUAAACCCCCUACAUCAAGGUUCCGUCACUAUUCCGUCACUUCCUUAUAAUUUAUACUAAAAAAGCCCUUAAAAUGGCAGAAAUACAGAAAAGAAAAAUUUAUUUUUUUUCUUAAAGAACGAGUAAAAAAAAAUUGAAUCAUUUAUUCCUCUCCAUUCGCACCAAACAUUUCUAAGAUUUUAAGGAGGCAGAAUGUAGAUUUUUUGAAAGUUAGGAAAAAAAAAAAGUGAAAAAAAAAGAGUAUUUAUAGGGGGAGAUUUUCUUUAAUUUUUGGGCAAUGGAUAAAGUUUUAAGGGUACAAAGCAUCCUACAAAUUCAUAAUGCUGUGGGGAAGUAAUUAAUUCUUCGGAAGGCACCACCAACUCAUUCUUGAUACAUCCACUUUUAUGUACAUUAAAUUAAAUAGAAGCAAAAUAAAAUAUGCAGACGAGAUAGACAUCUGCAUCUAGAUCAUCGUUUCCUCAAGCAUGGAUUGUUUAGAAGAUCCGAGACGGAAAAUAUAGAAGCAUCAAGCUCGGCGCUUUGCAAUAAUGAAUUCAGCCACAUGAUGUGGAAUCAGUACUGAAUCCUUUCUGUGACAGGCUUGCCGUCUCGUUUUAACUGGAUAGUAAAAUUCGGGAUGUGGCGAACCCUUGUGCGCCAGUCAUUGCUGUGGUCGCCUUCUCCUUCUCCUAGAAGUAGCUCAACAAGUUCCUCUGCUGGAUAGAAAAUGUUCAAAUCCUGAAGGGUGGUCAGGUACACGAUGCCGAAGGGCAGCUCCUUUAGCUUCCGGCAAUAGGAUAGGUGAAGCUUAUUCAGGCUUGCCAUUGCUCCUCUUUCUAUUUCCACCUGACUGAGAUUCGGGGCAUCUAAUAUUGUCAAUCUCUUUAGCUUCGGGAAAGAUGUUGCUUGGAAGUGCAACUUCAUGCCAUCAUAUGCGCAAGAAAGGUGGAGAAACAUCAACGCAGGCAGCGCUUGCAGGUAAGGAAAUGUAUCUUCAUCCAAUUCUGACUCCAAAAGUUGUAAUUUGGUUAGGUUUGAUAGAGACCCAAAGGAUGCGGCAAGCUCAGAGAAUGAGGUUUUGUCUAAUUUACCGUCCAGCCAUAAUUCUUUAAUUGGCAGAGGUAGGCGCAGGGUGCCCAACUGCUGUAAUUCUUGCCUAAAUACACUUUCGACAGAUAAUUUGCUAAGAUGGUUCAUCUUUGUGAUACUAUUCCACAAGUCUGCACAGUGAUGGGUUCUUACGCCGGUUAUCGCAAAUGUCCGCAACUCUGUCAAAGCUUCUACAUUCCGCACAAUCUUCCUAGUUGCUUCAAUAGAUCCUAAAGUCUGCAAGUCCUUCAAGCGCCAUAUUCCAACGGGUGCCUUGAUGCCCUCGCCAACAUAUUCUGAUAAAACUAGGUGUCUCAACUUAUGAAGCCUCGUUAUUCCCUUCGGCAGCUUUCCUAUUUCACUUUUAUCUGUAUUUAGUAUUUGCAGAUUUUGUAGCUUCCCGAUUGAUCUUGGAAGCUCCUUAAUUUUUGUUUCUCUCAAACCAAGAUAAUGCAGGUUGAAGAGGUUACAGAUUUCACUCGGAACUUUCUCAAUUGGCGCUCCUUGUAGUUCCAAGACACGUAAAAAUUUUGAUGAUCUUAAGACCGACUUCAAUAAAUCAUUCCUCAUGGAAUUGUUGAAAACAAGUACUGAACGCAAAUGAGAUUUUUCUUCAGUACAAUAUUCAGUUAUAUCGCUUAGGAUUGACAAGCGUCGUGCUUUGUAUCCCUGCAAUAUUGUCCUUGAAUGCUCGCAAACCAUGCAGAAACUUAACUCCUUUGACUCCGAACGAGCGAGGACUCGAAUGAUGUCAUGCAUUCGAUAUGCAUAAACUCUACCAACUUCGUUCCACUCAGCCACUUGUAAUAGACAGCGAUGAACAAGUUCGUUAAGGUAGUCCUCGGCCACUUCCUCCAUCGUUCUUUCUCUUUCUUCAAUGAACCCUUCAGCCACCCAAAGCCUUAUGAGCCUGUCACUUUCAAUUGUAUAGUCUUCCGGAAAGCUUGAACAAUAUAAGAAGCAGUUUUGAAGGUAAUGGGGAAGAUCGUCCAAACUAAGUUUCAAAAUGUCAUGUACUUUUCCAUGGAGCUUCGAUUCGUUGUUAGUUAGAUACCACUCAAGAUCUUUGUAAACCUUCUCCCAUUCAGACCUGGUUUGUUCUCGAAAUGAUAAGAGACGAGCUAUAGAUACGAUAGCAAGGGGCAAGCCACCGCACUUCUCGACAAUUCUUUUAGCACAUUGUUCUAAAGGCGGUGGGCAAAUCUUGUUUGCACUUUUCCAAAAUGCGUUUUUACAAAACAGAUCCCACGAAUCAUCUGCUUGCAGUGGCUUUAGCUCAAACAUAUGAUUCUCGUUUGCUAAUAGAGCUACAUCGCGAAUCCUUGUUGUGAGAACUAUUCUACUCUUGCUAUUACUAUUCAGAAGUGCAUUCUUUAUAUUGUCCAGUACAUCAGUACUCCAAACAUCAUCUAGAAUGAGUACAUACUUUUUACACUGCAAGUAAGUGCGGAUUUCCUCAACCAAGCUUCUAUAAUCCAUGGUAUCAAUGUUGUUAGGUACUUCUCUUUUCUCAGCUAAGCUUCUUUUAUCCAUGGUAUCAAUGUUGUUAGGUACUUCUCUUUUCUUACGAUCUUCCCUAUGAAACUCUUUUAAGAUUUGUCUAAGCAAAUCAUGAGUCUCAUAACUUUGAGAUACAGCAACCCAAGCACAAGCAUCAAAGGAAGCUUUGAUGAUAUUGUACACAUGAGUCACGAGAGUGGUCUUCCCUAGACCACCCAUCCCCAACACUGAGAUUAUCAUGGGCUGUCGUUGCUGCUCAUCCUCAUCUUUCAACCAUUCGAGCAACAAGUCCCUGUACUUGUCAAUACCCACGAUAUCAUCCUCCUCGACAAAAUGUGCUAAUUCCGCACAGCUCUUGCUACUGCCAACAGCUAUUUGAGGUUUUGCUUCACUUUCCAUUCCUCUUGUAUCAUAUCGUGUCCUUCUCUCCAUAAUGUUUUGGAGCUUAAUUUUGAUCUCUUUAAGUUUGCUGCUAAGGU
rnacentral:lncRNA from 1 species